CACGUAGGGCGCAAGCGUUGUCCGGAAUUAUUGGGCGUAAAGCGCUCGUAGGCGGUCUGUUACGUCUGCUGUGAAAACCCAGGGCUUAACCCUGGGCUUGCAGUGGAUACGGGCAGACUAGAGUCAGGUAGGGGAGAAUGGAAUUCCCGGUGUAGCGGUGAAAUGCGCAGAUAUCGGGAGGAACACCGGUGGCGAAGGCGGUUCGCUGGGCCGGAACUGACGCUGAGGAGCGAAAGCGUGGGGAGCGAACAGG
rnacentral:rRNA from 1 species